GACGAACGCUGGCGGCGUGCCUAAUACAUGCAAGUCGAGCGAGCGGAACCAACAGAUUUACUUCGGUAAUGACGUUGGGAAAGCGAGCGGCGGAUGGGUGAGUAACACGUGGGGAACCUGCCCCUAAGUCUGGGAUACCAUUUGGAAACAGGUGCUAAUACCGGAUAAUAAAGCAGAUCGCAUGAUCAGCUUUUGAAAGGCGGCGUAAGCUGUCGCUAAGGGAUGGCCCCGCGGUGCAUUAGCUAGUUGGUAAGGUAACGGCUUACCAAGGCGACGAUGCAUAGCCGAGUUGAGAGACCGAUCGGCCACAUUGGGACUGAGACACGGCCCAG
rnacentral:rRNA from 1 species